rnacentral:lncRNA from 1 species
CGUUUGAAUGGCAUUUCUUUUUCUGUUCAUUCUAUUUUCCAUCUUGCAGAGCUUCCCUCUUUGCCCCAUUCUUUUUCAGUCCAGCAAACAGGAGAGUCCACAAUCUUCAAAGAGAUCAAAAUCAGUGGCCUGCUGACUUAAGGAAUGCUGGGGAAAGCUUACUCACAAAAUCCAGCCUAAAAGGAAAGGGUAGGUCAAACUUUAAAUACUUUGAUGUCACCUUUAAAAUCCAGAUCUCUUCUAUAUCAGUGCU